rnacentral:rRNA from 1 species
AACGAACGCUGGCGGCAGGCUUAACACAUGCAAGUCGAACGCACCUUUCGGGGUGAGUGGCAGACGGGUGUGUAACGCGUGGGAAUCUACCCUUCUCUACGGGAUAGCUCUGGGAAACUGGAAUUAAUACCGUAUACGUCCUGAGGGAGAAAGAUUUAUCGAGGAAGGAUGAGCCCGCGUUGGAUUAGCUAGUUGGUGGGGUAAAGGCCUACCAAGGCGACGAUCCAUAGCUGGUCUAAGAGGAUGAUCAGCCACAUUGGGACUGAGACACGGCCCAAACUCCUACGGGAGGCAGCAGUGGGGAAUAUUGGACAAUGGGCGCAAGCCUGAUCCAGCCAUGCCGCGUGAGUGAUGAAGGCCCUAAGGUUGUAAAGCUCUUUCAGUGGGGACGAUAAUGACGGUACCCACAGAAGAAGCCCCGGCUAACUUCGUG